rnacentral:rRNA from 1 species
GUGGGGAAUCUUGCGCAAUGGGCGAAAGCCUGACGCAGCCAUGCCGCGUGAAUGAUGAAGGCCUUAGGGUUGUAAAGCUCUUUCAGCUGGGAAGAUAAUGACGGUACCAGCAGAAGAAGCCCCGGCUAACUUCGUGUCAGCAGCCGCGGUAAUACGAAGGGGGCUAGCGUUGUUCGGAAUCACUGGGCGUAAAGCGCACGUAGGCGGAUCGAUAAGUCAGGGGUGAAAUCCCGAGGCUCAACCUCGGAACUGCCUUUGAUACUGUCGACCUUGAGUCCGGGAGAGGUGAGUGGAACUCCGAGUGUAGAGGUGAAAUUCGUAGAUAUUCGGAAGAACACCAGUGGCGAAGGCGGCUCACUGGCCCGGUACUGACGCUGAGGUGCGAAAGCGUGGGGAGCAAACAGGAUUAGAAACCCCUGUAGUCC